GGCAAAAUGGCAGCGUCCAUACCAGGCAUUUGAAAGAUUUUAUGCCGUGUCUAUCCUUUACUUUUAGGCAGAAUAAGUUUCCAAAGAGGUUACCUGUCAGGCGUUGGACCCAGGCUGUUUCCAUGUGUGAAGUCCAGCCUCUCUCUGUGCACUGCAGCCUAACCUGAAAUCUCCAGUGAUGCUGCUGUGGCAGUGGAGACUAACUGUUACAAGGACAGACCAUGGGGCAACCUGGAGAGCGAAGAGUACAUAGAGCACUAACUACAGGAGGAACCAGAAAGGAGGGAUUCCCCCUCAGAAGACACGCAAUACCUGCAUUGUAGGUGUAACAGCAGUGGUUCUGUAACCUUGCCUGAGACCUGGAGACUUGUGGCAGCUCUCCAAGCUAUUGUCUAGGCUUUUUUGGAGAGUGCACAGAUAUUCAGAGGAUGUCUACCAUGAUGCUGUCUGCUCUGUGUUAGGCUAUGUAACUCCAUAUUAUUAUUAUUAUAUUCUCCACCAGACAGUCACACGAGUUCGUACUGUUAGGUGACCUAAACUGGGAUAUGCUUAACACUCCGGCCGUCCUACAAUCUAAGCUUGAUGCCCUCAAUC